CCUCCCGCCGCAGUUCACACGCACGCACGCACACGCGUUUUUGAACGGGCCGCGGCAGCGCGCCGCCGCCGGAAGUCCGGACAGCUGCGGAGCGACAACAAAGCGCCGGUUCCGGCAGCUGCCCGCGACUCCGCGACGAGCACUCUUCGAUUGGCACCAAUCGAUCGUCGUCAGGUAUGGAGCGGUGGGGGCACGACGAUUCCGCGUCGGCUACGCACGUGUCGGGCGGCCAGCUAUUGCCAACGCACGCGGCACGUCGUCAAUUUCGGCCAGCGGCGUUAAACAGAGACAGUUGCGAACCCAUCGGGCUACGACCACCGCUGUACGAAGAAUCGAGCCCGCGAGCUUGGCAGAAAAUCGCUGCACAACACCGGCGCAGAGCCACUGCGGCGAAUCCUUGCGCAACACGCUCACUCGUGCGAGUUGCAUGGGUGAGUGACUGGAGCCGCCGCGUCAAUGGCCAGCAGCUGUCCAGCUGCGUUUGACCAGCGGACGGACGCGGGUCGAGACUCCACCGUGGAGGCACGGACGCCCCCCGUUCCGCUCUCGUGGGCACACCGAUCCGUGCUGUGACCCGGCACUUCGGAGAACGCAGCGUGAAACAGAAAAGGAACAGACCGUCCGGCAGAAAAAGAACCAUUCACUUCUCCUCUUGCUCGGAGACGAACAAGCAAGUGCGACGCACCAGAGGGCGCACUUGCAUGACCUUUCACUGGCCAACCGCGUAGCGCUCGAAGCAGGAAAUGUCUACGCUGAAGCCGAAGGCAUUGCGGUUAAUCCAGCGUUGGGAAUUGCGGGGAGUGCGCCAAUUUGCCUAAAUUUCCGUCCUUCUGGCUUCAAAAUAGCUUCGUGUCUUUGCAAACUGAUCGUUUUCGACAACACUUACGUUUAAAUGCAGCGAUUCGCAGCGACUCGCACUUGCACAGAAACUUGUUGCCUUGCUGCGUUUAGGGAAGUGCGCUCGCCUGGAAAUGUAGAAAGGCGUAAUAAAUAGCGUUACUAGAACGUCUCAAGCAACAAGGACGGAUAUUCCUUUAUUUUCGUUCCAAUAAAAUAAAAAUCAAAGAUGAGAAAAAUCAA